AUUGAACGCUGGCGGAAUGCUUUACACAUGCAAGUCGAACGGCAGCGCGGACUUCGGUCUGGUGGCGAGUGGCGAACGGGUGAGUAAUGUAUCGGAACGUGCCCAGUCGUGGGGGAUAACGUAGUGAAAAUUACGCUAAUACCGCAUACGAUCUAUGGAUGAAAGCGGGGGAUCGCAAGACCUCGCGCGAUUGGAGCGGCCGAUAUCAGAUUAGGUAGUUGGUGGGGUAAAGGCCCACCAAGCCAACGAUCUGUAGCCGGUCUGAAAGGACGACCAGCCACACUGGAACUGAGACACGGUCCAGACUCCUACGGGAGGCAGCAGUGGGGAAUUUUGGACAAUGGGCGAAAGCCUGAUCCAGCCAUUCCGCGUGCAGGAUGAAGGCCCUCGGGUUGUAAACUGCUUUUGUACAGAACGAAAAGGUUUCUACUAAUACUAGGAGCUCAUGACGGUACUGUAAGAAUAAGCACCGGCUAACUACGUGCCAGCCGCCGCGGUAA
rnacentral:rRNA from 1 species